rnacentral:tRNA from 1 species
AGAGACUUAGGAUAGAACCAAACCAAAAGCCUUCAAAGCUUUAAACAGGAGUGGAAAUCUCCUAGUCCCUG